rnacentral:rRNA from 1 species
CAUGGCUUUUUGUUAUUAAUAUAAGGUCUAACCUGCCCAAUGAUAAUUUAUUAAAUGGCCGCGGUAUUUUGACCGUGCAAAGGUAGCAUAAUCAUUAGUUUUUUAAUUGAAAGCUGGUAUGAAAGGUUGAAUGAGAAAAUAACUGUCUUUAUAAUAUUUAAUUAGAACUUUAUUUUUAAGUAAAAAAGCUUAAAUAAUAUUUAAAGACGAGAAGACCCUUUAGAGUUUUAUAAAAUUUAUAUUUUUGAUUUUUUAGAAUUAAUUAUAAUGAAAUAAAAUUUUAUUUGAUUGGGGUGAUUGAAAAACUUAAAUAACUUUUUUUUUUAUUGCACAUUUAUAUAUGAAUAUUUGAUCCAUAAAUUAUGAUUAUAAGAUUAAAUUACCUAAGGGAUAACAGCGUUAUUUUUUUUGAGAGUUCUUAUCGAAAAAAAAGAUUGCGACCUCGAUGUUGGAUUAAAAUUAAAUUAUGGUGUAGGGGCUAUAAC